UACAGAGGGGGCAAGCGUUGUUCGGAUUCACUGGGCGUAAAGGGUGCGUAGGUGGCGAGGUAAGUCGGAUGUGAAAGCUCGGAGCUCAACUCCGAAAUGGCAUUGGAAACUACCUUGCUCGAGGGUUGGAGGGGGGACUGGAAUACUUGGUGUAGCAGUGAAAUGCGUAGAUAUCAAGUGGAACACCAGUGGCGAAGGCGAGUCCCUGGACAACUCCUGACACUGAAGCACGAAAGCUAGGGGAGCAAACAGG
rnacentral:rRNA from 1 species